UGUACCGCUAUGGGUGUGAUUUUUUUGUAAAAACACCAGAUGGAAUUUCUCUAUGACCGAGUUUUUCCGCCUCGACCCUCUGUCGGGCAAAACUGUAAUAAGUUUGCUUUUGCUUUAAUAAAUUGUCUUAGCUUUUCUAUUGUUGUUUACGUGUGUUUUUGGUUAAUUAUUCAAUUGUUAAUUUUGUUCAUAUCUUAUAUAUUCAAUCAGUUCGUUAUUUGAAAUGUGAUUUGUUCAAUGUAUCUAUUAUUCUUACAAUUCAGCCUAAUUUUUGUGCAUUUAUUAAUGUCUCAAGUUAGAUCUUGUGGCCUACAAUCAUUAUUAUUAUAACGAUUGGUUCAUGUUAAUUAGAGCAGGAUUGUGUUGGCUUCAUUUGGCAGUCUAGAGAUUUAUUGUGAUAAUUUGGAUUUCGUGCUUUUUCAAAGAUUCAAACUCAGCAUUACACUGGAAUAAUUUUUGUAUUGAAGUCAUUUUAUUUACUUUUUAAAAAAAAGUUGAACUAAAGAUUGGCAUUUUUGGUUUCUCAUAUGAGCGAAUGGAGUUUUCAAUGAAAUGAUAAUCAGGAAAAAGGUUGAUCCUCAAGUCAAGAUGAUGAUAUGAUCCACUUGACUUUUAAGAUGGUUUGCUGGGAUCUCGUUAAAUACACAAACACCCAUUCCAAUUCACAUUCUUGCUACUUCAAUAUCAAUUGGGAAAGAAAUCUUUUCUCAAAUCUCAUCUAUUGACUUUUAUCCUCAUCAUCCAACAAAUCUUUCAUCUUGCAACUUUAUUUGUUUACAUCAUAUACUACAUGAACAGGGUUUCCACUAUAUGAGAAACUCAUCAUGCUCCUUUCAUCGUCAUCCAAUGAAGAACUAAUAUGUUACUUAUAUUAUGCUCUUAACUAAACCUUUAUUUAUUCACCAUCUUGUCUUGUGGUCAAAUGUUUGACCUUUCAGCUUUAAACUUUGACAAUUUAAUCACAACACACCAAUAACGCACCCAGAUGAGUGGCCUUAACCCGAAAAAUAAACAAGAACCGAACGAGGAGAAGCAAUCCAAUGAACCAGUUAAUCUGAAAGCAAGUGAAGAUACAAUGUUACAAAAAAAGUCAUCUCAUAAUGGCGAAAAGAAUCAUGGAAAUAAUUUAUUCCCACGAAUUUAAAAACAAUACUCAGGCUAAUAAUAAUAUCAAUUGAUGAAAGGAUGAGGAGGACAAAUGGAUAAAAUUAAAGUUGAAUGAUAUAAAAAUGAAAGUGUGCUGAAGAGUCAAUUGAAACAAAUUGAAAGCAAGUUAAAAAUGAAAAAAAGAGCAUUUUUCAAGUAUUGAUCCAAUUUUGGUAAAGCAAACGAUUUACAAUUAUGAGUGGAUAUACCUCAAAAUGGACGUCAUGCUGCGAUUUUUGAUAUUUCAUCAUUAUAAUGAUAUACAUCUAAUUGGCAUAUUUAGAGUUUGUUUUCAUUUGCCGAUGAAAUUCAGUUUACGAUAAGUGCUAAAUGGAUUUAACAUUUAUUAAUAUGUAAUAUUUAAUGGUUAUGAAUCAAGAUAAAUAAGCAGGUUACAGGCGUUUGCACUCCAUUGUUAUUAAUACUAUUAUUAUUACAUAUCUGUAUUUGUAUUUUCAUCAACAGGGAGCCUAUUUUUACUCAUUUUAUAGUUGAAAAAAAUAUUUGACUCAAUGAAAAAGAUGAACUGAGACACACUUUGCUCUCUUAAAGGUAUACAUAUAUGUCACACAAAUGUAUCAUCAUCCAAUUAUGAUCAAUAAUUUUGUGAUGAGAAAAAAAAGGAAGACUAAUAAUAGAGAAUGAUUACAGUGAUGACAGUGAUAACAAGAUUUUAGUUAUGAAUAAAUGAUGAGAAUCAAAA